UUGGAGGGCAAGUCUGGUGCCAGCAGCCGCGGUAAUUCCAGCUCCAAUAGCGUAUAUUAAAGUUGUUGUGGUUAAAAAGCUCGUAGUUGAACCUUGGGCCUGGCUGGCCGGUCCGCCUCACCGCGUGUACUGGUCCGGCCGGGCCUUUCCCUCUGUGGAACCCCAUGCCCUUCACUGGGUGUGGCGGGGAAACAGGACUUUUACUGUGAAAAAAUUAGAGUGUUCAAAGCAGGCCUUUGCUCGAAUACAUUAGCAUGGAAUAAUAGAAUAGGACGUGUGGUU
rnacentral:rRNA from 1 species